GACGAACCGAGCGAACGUUGUUCGGAAUCACUGGGCUUAAAGGGCGCGUAGGCGGGCUGUCGCGUCCGGGGUGAAAUCCCGCGGCUCAACCGCGGAACGGCCUCGGAUACGGGCGGCCUCGAGGGGGGUAGGGGCAUCUGGAACUGUGAGUGGAGCGGUGAAAUGCGUUGAUAUUCACAGGAACUCCGGUGGCGAAGGCGAGGUGCUGGACCCCAUCUGACGCUGAGGCGCGAAAGCUAGGGGAGCAAACAGG
rnacentral:rRNA from 1 species